UACAGAGGGUGCGAGCGUUAAUCGGAAUUACUGGGCGUAAAGCGUGCGUAGACGGUUAUUUAAGUCGGGUGUGAAAGCCCCGGGCUCAACCUGGGAAUUGCAUUCGAGACUGAAUAGCUAGGGUACGGUAGAGGGAAGCGGAAUUUCCGGCGUAGCGGUGAAAUGCGUAGAUAUCGGAAGGAACAUCAGUGGCGAAAGCGGCAUCCUGGACCGAUAUUGACGCUGAUGCGCGAAAGCCAGGGGAGCAAACGGG
rnacentral:rRNA from 1 species